GGGAGGCGUUCGUAGCCCAUGGAUGUCCUGGCGGCGAAUUCAGCAGUUUGGUCUGCAGGAUCCGCACCGGGCAUCGUGGAAUGAGCAGUGCAUCGCGCAGCUCUGCUGACGUCAUCGCGCCUCACCCUGAAGUUUUGGCCGGGCAUUUCCUAUCCGUCCCGUGGCGUCCUAUGUGCCACAGGGUUGCCGGUAUAAUUGGGAGGGGGCGCAGAUGUCACAUAUCGGAGGGGGGUCGCACUACAAUGUUCCGAAUGGUAUGCAAUGACAGAGAGGCUGGGCCUAGCGCUGAGGGGUGUGGGGUGUGUGAGAUGCCGUUGGUCGCUCCCAUGACUGAC
rnacentral:lncRNA from 1 species